CCCUUAGAUGUUCUGGGCCGCGCGCGCGCUACACUGAUGCAUUCAACGAGUUCUUCCUGGUCCGAGAGGAAUGGGUAACCUUUUGAAAGUGCAUCGUGCUAGGGAUAGACUAUUGCAAUUAUUGGUCUUCAACGAGGAAUUCCUAGUAGACGUAGUUCAUCAGACUGCAUCGAUUACGUCCCUGCCCUUUGUACACACCGCCCGUCGCUCCUACCGAUUGGAUGAUCCGGUGAGCUAUUCGGACCUGUGCAUUUUCCAUUGGAACUUGCGUGGGAAAGUCUCGCGAACCUUAUCAUCUAGAGGAAGGAGAAGUCGUAACA
rnacentral:rRNA from 1 species